AUUGAACGCUGGCGGCAGGCCUAACACAUGCAAGUCGAGCGAGCGGCGGACGGGUGAGUAAUGUAUGGGAAACUGCCUGAUGGAGGGGGAUAACUACUGGAAACGGUAGCUAAUACCGCAUACCAUCAGAUUUGCCCAGAUGGGAUUAGCUAGUAGGUGGGGUAACGGCUCACCUAGGCGCCGAUCCCUAGCUGGUUUGAGAGGAUGACCAGCCACACGGGAACUGGGACACGGUCCAGACUCCUACGGGAGGCAGCAGUGGGGAAUAUUGCACAAUGGGCGCAGGUCUGAUGCAGCCAGGCCGCGUGUGUGAAGAAGGCCUUCGGGUUAUAAAGCACUUUCAGCGGGGAGGCGUUACCCGCAGAAGAAGCACCGGCUAACUCCGUGCCAGCAGCCGCGGUAAUAC
rnacentral:rRNA from 1 species